GACGAACGCUGGCGGCGUGCCUAACACAUGCAAGUCGAACGAAGUAAGUUGCUUCACCAAGUGUUGAAUAGCUACCCCCAAGCGCAUUUGCCAAAGGGUAAGCAAAAAGUACUAUCAAUUAAAUAAAAUGGUGAAACAAAAGAAUAGCGAAGAAGAAGCAAAUGCGCUUCACGCUAAUUCCAAGUACCAACACAAAACAAAUUCAAUGUUUGGUGAAGCAACUUGCUUAGUGGCGGACGGGUGAGUAACGCGUGAACAAUCUGCCCCGUACAAAGGGAUAGCCUCGGGAAACCGGGAUUAAAACCAUAUAACACUUAACUGCCGCAUGGUAGUGAAGUCAAAUCGAGUAAGAGGUAUGGGAUGAGUUCGCGUCUGAUUAGCUAGUUGGUGAGGUAAGGGCUCACCAAGGCGACGAUCAGUAGCCGGCCUGAGAGGGUGAACGGCCACACUGGAACUGAGACACGGUCCAGACUCCUACGGGAGGCAGCAGUGGGGAAUAUUGCACAAUGGGCGAAA
rnacentral:rRNA from 1 species